rnacentral:snoRNA from 1 species
CUCAUUAACAUAUUCUAACUCUCCAUUACCAAGCACGGAUUUGAUAUCUCUAUUCAUCCGCAGCAUAAAUGGCAGAGAGAAGAACAAAGAUUCCCCUUUUUAAAUCUCUUUGGCUGAUUAAUCCCAAAUCCUUCAAGAGUUCGCUUAUGGGGAAUAUUU